rnacentral:rRNA from 1 species
GCGAUCCCAGGAUGGGCGAGNCCACC